rnacentral:rRNA from 1 species
GACGAACGCUGGCGGCGUGCUUAACACAUGCAAGUCGAACGGAAAGGCCCUGCUUUUGUGGGGUGCUCGAGUGGCGAACGGGUGAGUAACACGUGAGUAACCUGCCCUUGACUUUGGGAUAACUUCAGGAAACUGGGGCUAAUACCGGAUAGGAGCUCCUGCUGCAUGGUGGGGGUUGGAAAGUUUCGGCGGUUGGGGAUGGACUCGCGGCUUAUCAGCUUGUUGGUGGGGUAGUGGCUUACCAAGGCUUUGACGGGUAGCCGGCCUGAGAGGGUGACCGGCGACAUUGGGACUGAGAGACGGCCCAGACUCCUACGGGAGGCAGCAGUCGGGAAUAUUGCACAAUGGGCGGAAGCCUGAUGCAGCAACGCCGCGUGCGGGAUGACGGCCUUCGGGGUGUAAACCGCUUUCGCCUGUGACGAAGCGUGAGUGACGGUAAUGGGUAAAGAAGCACCGGCUAACUACGUG